UUGGAAUAAUCUUAGUAACUCCAUGCCUACAACUUCUCUUAUGUCAGAGAUAAGUCCAGGUUAGAAUCAGAGUACCGGGAAAAUUCCAGAUGAAGAUGAGUGUAAAGAAGUCUUUUUCUUCAAAGAGGAGCCUUUUCUUAACUCUGUGAUGAAGAUCUUCAGGGUCAAAACAAUGCUCUGGAAGAAAAUUAUCCACAAUACUUUUGUGAGUUAG
rnacentral:lncRNA from 1 species